CUGGCAAAAAAGAAGGCUGGCAAUGGGGAUGAGGGAGGGGGGCGAGAGGCACCUCUGAAUACCUGUUAUUAACUUAUGCUGGCAAGACCUAUAGUUUCAUUAUGGAAACUGAGAUUUCUGGUCACUUGACAGCAGAUUCCAGGGUUUUACCACUGAAUAAACUUAUCUUUAGCCCAAGCAUGAAUGGAGAGUAAAUGGCCAAAAUACAAAGAAAACAAAGAAUAUAAUAAAGAAGCCCAGAAAGCACAGACAGGCAUGGGGAAAUGGUGGCAUCAUAAGAGUCACUACGAGGGAAAAACAUAAAUAGGAUCAAAGCAGGUGUCUUUAACCAACAAAAAAAAAACAGAAGUCUCAACUCUCAACACAUUUCAAGAUUUUUCUAAUACGCAACAGAGCUUAAGGCAGUAGCAGCAGGUGGAGGAUAUUGACACAACAUUUGCAAUCCAGUGGAACAAAAACUGAAAGUGGAGAAGCAAAAUUCAGAAACUGACUAGGACUGUGCCAGCAACAAUUAUGCCGUUUACAAUGCGCUUGCAGGCAGUCACCCUGGUACAGAUGAGCUGCUAAUAAACUAUGACACUUAGGGCCUAAUUCAUGUUUGGAUGUAAUGACGAGGCCGCAAGUACAAUUCUGUGUAAUUAAAAUGCAAAGACAGCAGGAAGCGUCUGUAGGCGAUAGACGUCGCCUGCAUUUACAUGAUUCCAAAUGCUGUGUCUGCGGAUCACCUUCGCGACCAUCGGUCGUGAUUCGCAAUAUUUUUAGGCACCGGUCUGCCUGAGGUAUGGGCCCUACACACAACGCGAUGUCCCGCCGCGGUGCCCGACAGUCGAUACGGCCGACCCGGCGGCGUGGGGGGGGGUGACUAGGAGUGAACUUUCUUCACUCCCCAAGUCACCCAUCCCCAUAGCCCUGCAAGCUAAUAUGGACGAUAUUGUCCAUAUUGGCUUGCAUGCAUAAACGAGCCAGCACCAACGAUGAACGAGCGAGGGGCCGCGCACCGUUCAUCGUUGGUGCCUACACACUGAAAGAUAUUAACGAUAUCUUGUUCAUUAAUGAACGAGAACAUUCAUAUCUUUCAGUGUAAUCGCUAAGUGUGUAGGGCCCAUAAUCUGAAGCUUACUUAGACUGGCCGUCCAAUCUGGACACCGACGACACAGACCCUGGGCCCGUCACAUCGUACAAAUCUGAAUGAGUAAUCUGCCACCAUCUAAAAGAAAACCCUAUAAGUUCAACACCCAAAGAGCCAGAGGGUUAAAAUCACAUCACAUUAUAUUCAAUGUUGAUUGUCGGAAGUGUGUUUUGCCUUGCAGUAAGUAUA